CGCUCGUAGUCGGAUUUCGGGGCGGGCCGACCGGUCUGCCGAUGGGUAUGCACUGGCCGGCGCGUCCUUCCACCCGGAGACCGCGCCUACUCUUAACUGAGCGGGCGCGGGAGACGGGUCUUUUACUUUGAAAAAAUCAGAGUGUUUCAAGCAGGCAGUCGCUCUUGCAUGGAUUAGCAUGGGAUAAUGAAAUAGGACUCUGGUGCUAUUUUGUUGGUUUCGAACACCGGAGUAAUGAUUAACAGGGACAGUCAGGGGCACUCGUAUUCCGCCGAGAGAGGUGAAAUUCUCAGACCAGCGGAAGACGAACCACUGCGAAAGCAUUUGCCAGGGAUGUUUUCACUGAUCAAGAACGAAAGUUAGGGGAUCGAAGACGAUCAGAUACCGUCGUAGUCUUAACCAUAAACCAUGCCGACUAGGGAUUGGAGGAUGUUCCAUUUGUGACUCCUUCAGCACCUUUCGGGAAACUAAAGUCUUUGGGUUCCGGGGGGAGUAUGGUCGCAAGGCUGAAACUUAAAGGAAUUGACGGAAGGGCACCACCAGGAGUGGAGCCUGCGGCUUAAUUUGACUCAACACGGGGAAACUUACCAGGUCCAGACAUUGUGAGGAUUGACAGAUUGAGAGCUC
rnacentral:rRNA from 1 species